ACUUAUAAAACAAUCUUUCUUCUUUCUCCUCCUGUUAUCCGUUUCUCUCUAUCUCCUCUCGUUCUCUCUCUAUCUCCAUUUUUAUCAACACUUUUUCUCAUCUUCCCUCUUACAAAAUAUCUAAGUUGGCAACAUGUCCUUCCUCUUUUCCUCUUUAUUUCUCCUCUUUCCUCUUGUCCCUCCUCCUCCUCUUCCCGUCCACUUAUAGAACAAUCUUUCCUCUUUCUCCUCGUGUUAUCCGCUUCUCUCUAUCUCCUCUCGUUCUCUCUCUAUCUCCAUUUUUAUCAACACUUUUUCUCAUCCUUCCUCAUACAAAACCCCUGAGUCCUUCCUCUUUUCCUCUUUAUUUCUCCUCUUUCCUCUUGUCCCUCCUCCUCCUCUUCCCGUCCACUUAUAGAACAAUCUUUCCUCUUUCUCCUCGUGUUAUCUGCUUCUCUCUAUUUCCUCUCGUUCUCUCUCUAUCUCCAUUUUUAUCAACACUUUCUCCUCUUCCCUCUUACAAAAUAUCUAAGUUGGCAACAUGUCCUUCCUCUUUUCCUCUUUAUUUCUCCUCUUUCCUCUUGUCCCUCCUCCUCCUCUUCCCGUCCACUUAUAGAACAAUCUUUCCUCUUUCUCCUCGUGUUAUCCGCUUCUCUCUAUCUCCUCUCGUUCUCUCUCUAUCUCAGUUUUCAUCAACACUUUUCUCAUCUCUCCUCCUCAAUAUCUAAUUUAGGUUGGCAAUGUCCUUACUACUACUACUACUACUACUACUACUACUACUACUACUACUACUACUACUACUACUACUACUACUACUACUACUACUACUACUACUACUACUACUACUACUACUACUACUACUUAAGGAUUGUAAGUAAAGGGAGUUGUAGUAGAUACUUUUAUUAAUAAGUGUUAAUAAAAAUAAUGAGAGAGAGAGAGAGAGAGAGAGAGAGAGAGAGAGAGAGAGAGAGAGAGAGAGAGAGAGAGAGAAAUACCUCCAUAUCUGAAAGGGAAAAAUCUAUAAUCUUCCUCCUCUUCUUCUUCUUCUUCCUCCCACAACACAAAUUAUAUAUAUAUAAAAAUAAAAUAAAAAUAAAUUCCAUAACAGUUUAACCCAAGCAGUGACCUCCCCAGCAGUACUUAAGGGCAGGGUCAAGGUCAAGUUGUAGGGAGGUUUUAUCUGUACCAAGCCCCUGAGGUGACCUUCUGUCUGACCCUCACACCAACCACCUUAUUGGGUCAAAUCGCAGGUCAGUCGGGUCCUAAUGUGUGUUUCUACAGGUUCACGGUACAGAGGAAGGGUCACACUACCACCAGGGUCAUAGAACUGCUCCUGGAAAUGCCCACAACUCCUAGGAAAGCCUUGCCAAAUGUGUGUUUCCUUAGGUUCACGGUACAGAGGAAGGGUCACACUACCACCAGGGUCAUAGAACUGCUCCUGGAAAUGCCCACAACUCCUAGGAAAGCCUUGCCAAAUGUGUGUUUCCUUAGGUUCACGGUACAGAGGAAGGGUCACACUACCACCAGGGUCAUAGAACUGCUCCUGGAAAUGCCCACAACUCCUAGGAAAGCCUUGCCAAAUGUGUGUUUCCUUAGGUUCACGGUACAGAGGAAGGGUCACACUACCACCAGGGUCAUAGAACUGCUCCUGGAAAUGCCCACAACUCCUAGGAAAGCCUUGCCAAAUGUGUGUUUCCUUAGGUUCACGGUACAGAGGAAGGGUCACACUACCACCAGGGUCACAAAACUACCCCUGGAAAUGCCCACAACUCCUAGGAAAGCCUUGACAAAUGUGUGUUUCCUUAGGUUCACGGUACAGAGGAAGGGUCACACUACCACCAGGGUCACAAAACUACCCCUGGAAAUGCCCACAACUUCUAGGAAAGCCUUGGCAAAUGUGUGUUUCCUUAGGUUCACGGUACAGAGGAAGGGUCACACUACCACCAGGGUCACAAAACUACCCCUGGAAAUGCCCACAACUCCUAGGAAAGCCUUGUCAAAUGUGUGUUUCCUUAGGUUCACGGUACAGAGGAAGGGUCACACUACCCCUGGAAAUGCCCACAACUUCUAGGAAAGCCUUGGCAAAUGUGUGUUUCCUUAGGUUCACGGUACAGAGGAAGGGUCACACUACCCCUGGAAAUGCCCACAACUCCUAGGAAAGCCUUGGCAAAUGUGUGUUUCCUUAGGUUCACGGUACAGAGGAAGGGUCACACUACCACCAGGGUCACAAAACUACCCCUGGAAAUGCCCACAACUUCUAGGAAAGCCUUGGCAAAUGUGUGUUUCCUUAGGUUCACGGUACAGAGGAAGGGUCACAAAACUACCCCUGGAAAUGCCCACAACUCCUAGGAAAGCCUUGGCAAAUUAUGCUUAUAUCUCAAAACUAUCAAUUAAUGUAUGUUUCUCUAUGUGCGUCAUUUAAUUCUGCAUGUUUUCAUAUAUAAUACAUGAUGAUUGUGUUGAGUUUAUGGCUGAAAACUUGUUAUAUUCAAUAGCGAUAUUUGAAAUUUGGCGCGCAUGGUGAUCUCGGAUACGGGGCGCUGUUUGGGCCCAGCCGUAGUGAAGGGGUUAAACCAAUAUUUUACACAUCUCGAAGUUGUAAAGUUUUGUUUAGUGGGCACAACAUCUGUGGUCAUAGGCCGGAGAGAGACAGGAGGGGAAGGAAUUAUAGCAGAAGGGAACAGUUGGAAAGUUUUGUUUAGUGGGUGCAACAUCUGUGGUCAUAUGCCGGAGAGAGACAGGAGGGGAAGGA